AUCUACAGCUAUACUACCCUGAACCCGCCUAAUCUCAUCUGAUCUUGGAAUUUACAAAAGGUCAGGCUGGUUAGUACUUGGAUGAGAGAUGCACAGGGCAUGGUGUGUGGGAA
rnacentral:rRNA from 1 species